CCCUCAGUGCCUUGGGAAGCCACGGCUGUCCCUUUUCUGCCAGCAGCCGUGUGUCCGGGCAGCUGCCCUGUGUCCGGCUCUUCUGACGUCACCGGCCCGGGCCCGCCCGGCCCCGCUGACCCGCGGUCUGGUCGCUCUGGUCCCUCCAGCCGGUGCCGUCUACUCCCCGCGGGGGCUCGUGGCUCCCCAGGCUCUGCCUGCUGUAAGCCCGUCUGCGGAUGCCUCCGAGCCUGAGGCGCGUCCCCAGCCCCGGCGUCUGAGCUCCCGAUCAGAGCCCCGCAUCUUCCCGGCGGCGUCCCUUGAGGCUGCUGCCUUGCAGCGGAGCUCCCGCUGGCCCCAUUGCCCCCGAGGCUGCCCUCUGCCUCACCCGCCUGGGUCCUCCGGCAGGCGCCUGGCUCCUUCUUGUGGCGGCUGGGGCUGCAGCCUCCAGCUCCACAGCCGGCAUCUCCCAGCUGGCGCCCUGCUCCAAGCCCUGCGGCGGCGGCUCAGCGAGGCCCGGCUGCCUUUUGAGCAGCCCGCGCUGCUCGGGAGCCGCACCCCCAGCUCUUGCUGAUCCACAGGCUCAAGCUGCGAAACUGCUGAGCCUGCUUUUGUGUUGGCGUCGGCGUCCGGGUCUCCCCCCAGCAGCUGCCCGUCUCUGUUCCUGGCCAUUGGAAGACAGGAUUACCCGUCUGCUGCUCAGGAGCUGAGCCUGUCUACUCCUCCCGUGGCUUACGAAGCUCUACACCAAAUACUUGGAUGCGAGGAAGAAGUUCUUCAGCUGCUGGGAGAGAGCAGCUGCUGGAUGACUGAGAGUCCCCGAGACAAAUAUCUCACUCUAAGUGAACAAGUCGUCUUGUCUGAAAGCCGCAGAACACCAAGCCAGCAAUGUCUCGUCUGACUCGGUAACAGAAUAGAAUAACCAAGUAUGCUACACCUAUUGGUGUGGUAAGUAUGAAAUAUGAGUAAUACUAAUAAUCCUGAAAUCAGUAAAGUAAUUGUAACCUGAAACUGUAUUUGUAAUCCCUUUUCUGUAGUAUUAUUAUCAACAGAAACAGGAGCAGCAAUUUCUCUCAUAUUUUUGUGUUUUGUGUGUUUGUGUAUGUUGUGUUUCGUAUUGUUUAUGAAAGCUAAGCAGUUGUACAAGUGAUCUAAGGAGUAGUAAAUUAGCUAAUACAUUGUACAUAAUAAAGGAAGCUUAAUGGUUAAUAA